rnacentral:lncRNA from 1 species
GUGAAGUGUUGAGCGACAUAUAUGCAUGGUUGAAAAAAGGUCCGGCAACCGAUAUUACAAGUGCAUCCUAUAAGCAUAAGAUCUCUGAAGCUAACCCUCGAUGUGAUUUGCCCGUCUUUCGGCUCACCAUUGCUUAUUUUUUUCAUUUCUUUUCUACCCAUUUUUUGUGCAACCUAGACAGUACCACUUCUUUGCAUGACAAGACGUCCCUACCCUGCCGUGCUUGACGCUGUCAGAGAUCGCCGCCGGUUUGAACCUCCUUCAUCUGUGUCAGUUCAAUCCCGCCAUGACUAGUUGACUACCCGCGGGAGGAUGGGCACCGCAUCGUCCUGAAUGAUCCACAUGUCUCGAUGUAUGGAUUCCAGCAAGCACCCCAAGGAAGAUCCACAUCCAAUGCCGACUUACCUAGGACCUUUCUACUCUUGGCGGUAAUCAACUUGGUGGUCUCUUUUGUUACGGAUGGAAAUGUGUGUCUUGAUCCUGGGCUUGGUUUACUUUAAGUCUGUCAUGGGGUGGUUUGUCUUACUGUCAGGCGUGAAGUGUGUGUGUCGUAGACUAAGAUGUAAUCCAGAUUCCAGAGUGUGUCCUCUUCUUUUUUUUGAGCAGCUAUUGAUGAAUGCUUAGUACUGCUUUUGACUGAAAUUUCUACUGAUGCAUUAGAAAGAAAUCCUGGUAGUAGAGCAGCGUGCUUGCCACACGUAAAUACAUAGCUGCGUAGUGAAUUCGUCAUCACAUCCCGACGCCGGAUCCAUGGAGAAAUCGCCACCGGCGCCACCGGGCAUCGCCGUCCUCUCGGUCUCCGUCUCCAUCCCUCGCUGAUUCCACACUCAGAGACCCAAAAGCAGCCCGGCCUCCACAACGCUCUAAUUUAUUCAUGGAGCAGUCCAGAACAGACGAGGCGAGCGGGGAAGGAUGUGGCCAAAUG